rnacentral:sRNA from 1 species
AGGUCGAGGCCUGAUGAGGCCAGAAGCCGGGAAGCCACGGCCUGUGUCCUCGGAAAAAGCAGGCACUGGAAGGGAGGCCAUUGAGCCCGGCACUAGCCGGUGUGGGUGAGCCCCGGCGAUGGGGGGGAUGGGUGGGGGUGGGGCGGGGAGGCUGGCCUGCCUUGACUCCUUUCUUCUCUUUGCAGCUCCCUGCUGUGGUCUGGAGGAAGCAGCGGCCUGGGUUGGUGGGAUUGGAAUGAAGGGCUUCUGGUUUGCAGGGAUCAAGGGUCCAGGGUCCCCGAGGUUGGGUCAGGAGCCUCAAGGGGAUAACUGAGGCUUGGGAGGGAGACAGGGCGAGAUAGAGACUGGCCCCUGUCCGGGAAGAAGCGUCCGGGUAGCUGGCAGGAGAUAGCAUUUAGGCAGAAACCAGGCUGGGGGCAGCUUGGGUAGGGGUCCCCGCAGAUCAGAGGACGGCCUGGAACAGGUCCCAGGGCCAGGGCCCAGGCAGGGGCAGCCAGCCUGAGGAGGGUGGCUGGUUAGGUGGCACUCACACCUAGAUGGGCUGCGAAGAUCAUAGACCUGUCCCAUAGUAAUGGAGACCCCUGUAGCGCAUUUCACCCUCCACUGCAGCAGCCGGAAGGAGUGUGAGGAGGGUCCAGGGA